UACGGAGGGUGCGAGCGUUGUCCGGAAUCACUGGGCGUAAAGGGCGCGUAGGUGGCGCCGCAAGUCAACGGUGAAAGCUCGACGCUUAACGUCGAGUCGGCCGUCGAGACUGCGGGGCUCGAGCACUGUAGAGGCUCAUGGAAUUCCGGGUGUAGCGGUGAAAUGCGUAGAUAUCGGAAGGAACACCAGUGGCGAAAGCGGCUUCCUGGUCCAGCACCGACGUUCAGGCACGAAAGCGUGGGGAGCAAACAGG
rnacentral:rRNA from 1 species